GAUGAACGCUGGCGGCGUGCUUAACACAUGCAAGUCGGACGAUGAAGCCCUUCGGGGUGGAUUAGUGGCGAACGGGUGAGUAACACGUGAGCAACCUGCCCUUGACUCUGGGAUAAGCCUGGGAAACUGGGUCUAAUACCGGAUAGGACCUCCUGCCGCAUGGUGGGGGGUGGAAAGCUUUGUUCGGUCUUGGAUGGGCUCGCGGCGUAUCAGCUUGUUGGUGGGGUGAGGGCCUACCAAGGCGACGACGGGUAGCCGGCCUGAGAGGGUGACCGGCCACACUGGGACUGAGACACGGCCCAGACUCCUACGGGAGGCAGCAGUGGGGAAUAUUGCACAAUGGGCGCAAGCCUGAUGCAGCGACGCCGCGUGGGGGAUGACGGCCUUCGGGUUGUAAACCCCUUUCGGCAGGGAACAAGCCCCUUGGGGUGAGGGUACCUGCGGAAGAAGCGCCGGCUAACUACGUGCCAGCAGCCGCCGUAACAC
rnacentral:rRNA from 1 species